GACAGAGGAUGCAACCGUUGCUCGGAUUUACUGGGCGUAAAGCGCGCGCAGGCGGUCCUUUAAGUCUGAUGUGAAAGCCCACGGCUCAACCGUGGAGGGUCAUUGGAAACUGGGGGACUUGAGUGCAGGAGAGAAGAGUGGAAUUCCACGUGUAGCGGUGAAAUGCGUAGAGAUGUGGAGGAACACCAGUGGCGAAGGCGACUCUUUGGCCUGUAACUGACGCUGAGGCGCGAAAGCGUGGGGAGCAAACAGG
rnacentral:rRNA from 1 species